GAUGAACGCUAGCUACAGGCUUAACACAUGCAAGUCGAGGGACCGGCGCACGGGUGAGUAACACGUAUCCAACCUGCCCUUUACUCGGGGAUAGCCUUUCGAAAGAAAGAUUAAUACCCGAUAUAAAGGAUGGGGAUGCGUUCCAUUAGGUUGUUGGUGAGGUAACGGCUAACCAAGCCUUCGAUGGAUAGGGGGUCUGAGAGGAAGGUCCCCCAGAUGUGAACUGAGACACGGUCCAAACGCGUAGGCGAGGCAGCAGUGAGGAAUAUUGGUGAAUGGGCGCUAGCCUGAACCUGCCAAGUAGCGUGAAGGAUGAAGGCUUAGUUGUCGUAAACUUCUUUUAUAUAAGAAUAUGUAUUAUAUGAAUAAGGAUCGGCUAACUCCGUGCCAGCAGCCGCGGUAAUAC
rnacentral:rRNA from 1 species